UAUAAGUUACCGUUCUUGCAGUCAAUUACUUGAAAUCAAAACACCUUGUUUGGUAAAAGGGACACACCUUCUUGUUUGGUAAAAAUACAUUAAGGGAGUACAAAUUAGGACAAUCUCACGGAUUGUGGUUCCAGAUACAUGACCUUGUACCUGCCGGGCUAUACAUCAACCUGUCUGCUGCAUAAGGUCUCUGAGUAGCCUAUUUUUUACUACUGUGCAAGUUAAUCAUUUGUGAGAAUAGAUGAUCUCUGCACCUUCUCCAUUCCCCUUGUCGUCGUUACAGCUUCCACCUCUAACUCUAUGGUCUCCGACCAUCUUCUCCUCCAGCUCUCCUAUUCUGUAAUUAGACAACGUCAGGUAUUGAUCCGAUUCAACACUUCCAUGUCUCCCACUUUCUUCCUGCACAUUCAACCUCGGUAUAUACAACAAACUUUGGUUCUCUUUCCUUUAACCUGAAAAACUGAAUGAGAAGAAAUUAUUGAUGGUCCAUCUUGCGAACAUCUUACAAGCUAGAUUUCAAAAGUGUUCCAUUACUUUCUUUAAAUCUUCACUCGUGACCAGUUUCCUUUUCUUUAAUGUAGCUUCUGGAUUAGGCAUAAAAAAAAAAUC
rnacentral:lncRNA from 1 species